rnacentral:rRNA from 1 species
ACGGGGGAGUCAGCCCUCGGAAUACACCGGGAAGUGGGGGAGAACCUUUGGAAACGGCCGGUAAUUCAGCAUACUUCCAUCGGGAGAAAGCAGGGAACGUUCCGACCUUCCGCUAUCAGAUGAGCCUAGGUCGCAUUAGCUAGUUGGUGGGGUAAUGGCUCACCAAGGCGACGAUCCGUAGCCUGGUCUGAGAGGAUGAAUCGAGCCACACUGGAACUGAGACACGGGUCCAGACUCCUACGGGAGGCAGCAGUAGGGAAUCAUUCCACAAUGGAGCGAAAGCCUGAUCCAGCACACGCCGCGUGAGUGAAGAAGGUCUUCGGAUCGUAAAGCUCUGUACCUGGGAGGAA